rnacentral:rRNA from 1 species
GAUGAACGCUAGCGACAGGCUUAACACAUGCAAGUCGAGGGGCAGCGGGGUUGUAGCUUGCUAUAACCGCCGGCGACCGGCGCACGGGUGAGUAACACGUAUGCAACCUGCCCGUUGCAGGGGGAUAAUCGGAAGAAAUUCCGUCUAACACCGCGUAAUAUGGUAAAGAGGCAUCUUUUAAUCAUUAAAGAUUUAUCGGCAACGGAUGGGCAUGCGGCGCAUUAGCUAGUUGGAGGGGUAACGGCCCACCAAGGCGACGAUGCGUAGGGGUUCUGAGAGGAAGGUCCCCCACACUGGUACUGAGACACGGACCAGACUCCUACGGGAGGCAGCAGUGAGGAAUAUUGGUCAAUGGGCGGGAGCCUGAACCAGCCAAGUCGCGUGAGGGAUGACGGUCCUAUGGAUUGUAAACCUCUUUUGUCGGGGAGCAAGGACUCUACGCGUAGAGUUGUGAGAGUACCCGAAGAAAAGCAUCGGCUAACUCCGUGCCAGCAGCCG